AGGGUUCGAUUCUGGCUCAGAACGAACGCUGGCGGCGCGUUUAAGCAUGCAAGUCGAGCGGCAAGGGCCUUCGGGCCCCUAGAGCGGCGGACGGGUGAGUAACACGUGGACAAUCUGCCCCCCGGCCCGGGAUAGCCCAGGGAAACCUGGAUUAAUACCGGAUGAGACGGGACCCGCGAUGGCGGGAUCCGGGAAAGGCGCUGCGGCGCCGCCGGGGGAUGAGUCUGCGUCCCAUUAGCUAGGCGGCGGGGUAACGGCCCACCGUGGCGACGAUGGGUAGCCGGCCUGAGAGGGUGGACGGCCACAUUGGAACUGAGACACGGUCCAGACUCCUACGGGAGGCAGCAGCUAAGAAUCUUCCGCAAUGGGCGAAAGCCUGACGGAAGCGACGCCGCGUGAACGAAGAAGGCCGUGAGGUUGUAAAGUUCUUUUCGGGAGGGGGAACAACCGUGGCAGGGAAUGGCCGCGGGAUGACGUGAAUCCCGGAAUAAGCCCCGGCUAACUACGUGCCAGCCGCCGC
rnacentral:rRNA from 1 species